rnacentral:rRNA from 1 species
GUGAGUAAUACAUCGGAACGUGCCCGAGAGUGGGGGAUAACGAGGCGAAAGCUUUGCUAAUACCGCAUACGAUCUCAGGAUGAAAGCAGGGGACCGCAAGGCCUUGCGCUCACGGAGCGGCCGAUGGCAGAUUAGGUAGUUGGUGGGAUAAAAGCUUACCAAGCCGACGAUCUGUAGCUGGUCUGAGAGGACGACCAGCCACACUGGGACUGAGACACGGCCCAGACUCCUACGGGAGGCAGCAGUGGGGAAUUUUGGACAAUGGGCGCAAGCCUGAUCCAGCCAUGCCGCGUGCAGGAUGAAGGCCUUCGGGUUGUAAACUGCUUUUGUACGGAACGAAAAGACUCUGGUUAAUACCUGGGGUCCAUGACGGUACCGUAAGAAUA